rnacentral:rRNA from 1 species
UAGAGUUUGAUCCUGGCUCAGAACGAACGUUAGCGGCGCGCUUAACACAUGCAAGUCGCACGAGAAAGGGCUUCGGCCCCGGUACAGUGGCGCACGGGUGAGUAACACGUGGGUAAUCUUCCCUUUGGCGGGGGAUAACCUUCCGAAAGGAGGGCUAAUACCGCAUAAGACCACGACUCCGAAAGGAGACGAGGUUAAAGCUGGCCUCUAUUCAUAAGCUAGCACCAAAGGAUGAGCCCGCGGCCCAUCAGGUAGUUGGUAGGGUAACGGCCUACCAAGCCUAAGACGGGUAGCUGGUCUGAGAGGAUGAUCAGCCACACUGGAACUGAGACACGGUCCAGACUCCUACGGGAGGCAGCAGUGGGGAAGCUUGCGCAAKGGASGAAAGUCUGACGCAGCGACGCCGCGUGGGUGAUGAAGGCCUUCGGGUUGUAAAGCCCUGUGGGGAGGGACGAAUAAGUAGAAGCUAACACCUUCUAUGAUGACGGUACCUCCUUAGCRAGCACCGGCUAACUCUGUGCCAGCCGCCGCGGWAAUUC